rnacentral:rRNA from 1 species
CUUGACAUCCAGCGAAUUCGGUAGAGAUACCUUAGUGCCUUCGGGAACGCUGAGACAGGUGCUGCAUGGCUGUCGUCAGCUCGUGUUGUGAAAUGUUGGGUUAAGUCCCGCAACGAGCGCAACCCUUAUCCUUUGUUGCCAGCGGUCCGGCCGGGAACUCAAAGGAGACUGCCAGUGAUAAACUGGAGGAAGGUGGGGAUGACGUCAAGUCAUCAUGGCCCUUACGAGUAGGGCUACACACGUGCUACAAUGGCGCAUACAAAGAGAAGCGACCUCGCGAGAGCAAGCGGACCUCAUAAAGUGCGUCGUAGUCCGGAUUGGAGUCUGCAACUCGACUCCAUGAAGUCGGAAUCGCUAGUAAUCGUAGAUCAGAAUGCUACGGUGAAUACGUUCCCGGGCCUUGUACACACCGCCCGUCACACCAUGGGAGUGGGUUGCAAAAGAAGUAGGUAGCUUAACCUUCGGGAGGGCGCUUACCACUUUGUGAUUCAUGACUGGGGUGAAGUCGUAACAAGGUAGGCGUAGACGU